UAGGGAAUCUUCGGCAAUGGGGGCAACCCUGACCGAGCAACGCCGCGUGAGUGAAGAAGGUUUUCGGAUCGUAAAGCUCUGUUGUAAGAGAAGAACGUGUGUGAGAGUGGAAAGUUCACACAGUGACGGUAACUUACCAGAAAGGGACGGCUAACUACGUGCCAGCAGCCGCUGUAAUACGUAGGUCCCGAGCGUUGUCCGGAUUUAUUGGGCGUAAAGCGAGCGCAGGCGGUUUAAUAAGUCUGAAGUUAAAGGCAGUGGCUUAACCAUUGUUCGCUUUGGAAACUGUUAAACUUGAGUGAAGAAGGGGAGAGUGGAAUUCCAUGUGUAGCGGUGAAAUGCGUAGAUAUAUGGGGGAACACCGGUGGCGAAAGCGGCUAUCUGGUCUGUAACUGACGCUGAGGCUCGAAAGCGUGGGGAGCAAACAGG
rnacentral:rRNA from 1 species